CCCUACGGGGUGCAGCAGGCGCGAACACUUUACAAUGCGGGAAACCGCGAUAAGGGAACCCCGAGUGCCAGCAUCAAAUGUUGGCUGUCCGGAUGAUUAAAAAUCAUUUGUUAGCAAGGGCCGGGCAAGACCGGUGCCAGCCGCCGCGGUAACACCGGCGGCCCGAGUGGUAGCCGUUUUUAUUGGGUCUAAAGGGUCCGUAGCCGGCCUGAUAAGUCCUUUGGGAAAUCUGGCAGCUUAACUGUCAGGCUUCUAAGGGAUACUGUCAGGCUUGGGACCGGAAGAGGUAAGGGGUACUCCAGGGGUAGGAGUGAAAUCUUGUAAUCCCUGGGGGACCAUCUGUGGCGAAGGCGCCUUACCAGAACGGGUCCGACGGUGAGGGACGAAAGCUAGGGGAGCAAACCGGAUUAGAUACCCGGGUAGUCCUAGCUGUAAACGAUGCUCGCUAGGUGUCAGACACGGUGCGACCGUGUUUGGUGCCGCAGGGAAGCCGUGAAGCGAGCCACCUGGGAAGUACGGCCGCAAGGCUGAAACUUAAAGGAAUUGGCGGGGGAGCAC
rnacentral:rRNA from 1 species